GUCAGAUGAUCCGGUUUGUUUUUGAAUUUUCGAUACUAUAUAAGUUUUCCAUGAUUUGUCUUGGAAGAAAAUCGUGUUCAGGGGGGAACCUAGUUGAAAGAAAAAAAGGGGGAACCUAGUUGGAAGAAAAUCGUGUCCUAAGGAGUAAGGGGGGCAACCUAGUUGCGAGAAGCCAGACUUUAUACUCUACAUCACAAAUUAAGGGAA